CUAUUUUAUUCCUGGUUUUUUUUUUUUUUCAAAAUAAUUGUUUUGUUUUUGGUAAAUUUAUUUGUAAAUAAGUUUAGGUAAUAUAUUUGAUUGAUUUUUUUUUUUUUAGGGUUUCUGUUAAUUGUGUAGUUGAUGUAUAUAUUGUGUUAAUUAUGGUUAAUAAAUAAUGAUUGAGAAUAUAUGGUAAGAAGAAAUUGUAUUUCCGUUGCAACCAUUUCAGAGUCUGAAAUGCCUAACAAUCUGGAUACUUUUGUUCUUGUAUGUUGUGGCCCUUGAGCCUUGAAGAGUAAUUUAAGUCUCAUAAACUUUAUGUUGUAGUAAGUUCUUCAUUCUAGAUUAUUUUACUAACAUUGUUGGAUGGUUGAACCACAAUGUGGAAAGGAGGGAGAAGGAGUGUAUAUUAUUUAUUAAAUUUAUUGUCAGCAUCUUUGCUUCCCUAUAAAAGAAAAAGAGAAAAGUCUAAAGGCUUAAGUUUAACGCAAUAUACAGAAGUUGAGUACAAACUAUACUGUGUUCUGUGUUUGGUAUUCAAAUCUGGAUUUUGAUUUUUAAUCCUUUUCCUCUCUAUUUGUUGAAGUCACCCUAUAACUUGUUACUUUUAUUACUAAGAUUUGUAAAUAUCAAAUUUCAUUUGUGGUUUCAUAAGUAAUUUCUACUGUUGUUUUAUAAUGUUCAUUUCUAUGCAUAGAUUUGGUUAAUGUAGUUCCUGAUGAGCAGAACUGAUUUGGUCUGGGUGCACAAAGAGGUCAGUAUCACUCUGGUUGUUGUUCUUUCUUAUUUUUGCAAACCCCUAGUGAGUUUGCAAACUAUGAGAAUAAAAUCUUAAAUUUAGUAGGCUUCUUUAUUUUGGGGUCAAAUAUCCUCCAUUUAAUUUGUGUUUCUUUUAGUCCAACUUGUAUGUAUUACUAUGUUAUUUAUUUGUACACACUAUAAAGUUUAUAACUUUGUGUUAUUUAAGUUGCAAUGUUUUAGUGGGCAUACGUGCUAGGCAUUUGGGGGAAUGACUAAACAUCUAUACUUGCAAUUAGCAUGCUCUAUUUCUGUUUUGUUAAAACUUAAAAACUCUGUGGUCAUUGUGUGGUUUAGAACUUUUUAACUUUCGUUCAAGUAAUAUAGAGUCAUAGACUUUGAAAGAGAUAGUGAACCCCAUCUUUUGUUUUCAUUUUAAACUGGUUCCUGUCUAAUCUGUAGGUUGUUUUUGUUCUCCAAGUCAAGAAUAUUUCAUCUGGGUCUUACUGUUUUUUUAUUUUUUCUUUUGGCCUUUAAAUAUAAUAAACAUGAUUACUGCUUAGUUUUUGAAUUUGAUUGAGUUUUCUAGGUUCAUAUUUCAUGGUUUUGGAGAUGCUUGAGUCUCUUCCACUCAUUGAGUGCAGCAACCUGAGGUUUUUUUUUUGGGAUAAAUUGUAGCAACCUGAGUGUUUUUUGAUAAACUGCAGGCUGCAGCAACCUGAGGUUUUUUGAUAAACUACAGCAACCUAUUGUUUGUUUGAUAAACUGUAGCAACUGGAGGUUAGUUCUUUUUCUUCCUCCUUUAUUUGGUGGAUAUAUGAUGGCUUGUGGGAGAUCUGCUUUUGGUUGUUGCAUUUGGGAGUUUUGAACAACAUUUGAUGAUUUGUUCUAAAAAUGCACACCAUGUGUUUGAUGUUUUGUUCUAUAAGCUUUGUAGUAGCCUAGUGGAGCUAGUGUGCCUAUCUUAUGCAAUUUUAACUAACUAAUUUACUUAAUCAUGGAGUAAAAGAUUGAAAAAUUUUCAAUCAAAUCUUGAUGCAAAAUAAUAGAUAGGAGAUUGAUAAUGUUAUUUGGAUAGUGUCUUGUUGAAGUGGCAUAGCAUCUUUUUCUUUCUCUUUUUCUCUCCUGCUCAAAACUUACAUUUAAUAUGAAGUUAAAUCAUUUUGCAAGGGUAGGAUGAAGAAUUGGCUCAUACAAUUGAAGUCCAUGUAACAAGACCAAGCUCUAAAAUAGAGUUGAAACAUUGAUAUGCACCCACAAUCAUUUACAUUAUUACUCAACUUUCAGAUAAUAAGAAACCUCUCAAAGAUAUUUCUGUUGUCAGUGGAGUUGCAGAAUGGAUAAUAAGAAAUUGCUACAAGUUAGAAGUUGCCCUGUUGAGAACUUAAGAAUGAAUGAUCCAGAAAUGCAUAUGCUUUUGAUUGUCUCUUUUUCAAAUAUAGAUGUUAACAAGACACAUUGUAGUGGAUUUUUUUUAAAUGAUUUUUUUCCUUUAAAAAUGGAUUUCUUUGUAGUUUGUAUGCUUCUUUUAGAUACUUUGCAACAAGAGACCGGCCUAUAGUUCAUGAAAGUGAGUAAUAUAUCAACUUAAAUUAUAAAUAUUAUGAGAUGAAAA